GUCAUUAUUUACGGUGGGGGGUGGCACCGAACAGAAAAUGGUUGGGUAAACAAAAUUUUGAGUGAGUAAAAGGUUGGGUAAAUGAAAAACAAAACAACUCAAGGGUUUAAUAAAAAUUUAUUGUCAUUUCCAAAGCAUAACUCACUGAAAUAUUGGAGACUAAAAAGCAAUGACAACAGUCAUAUGUCAAUACAAUAUGUGAAUCGAUCAGAGUCACUAUAUAUCUUGAUCAUUUUCCGAUUUGUUCGGAGACAAAUGGUGUCUCCAAAGAAAGUACAUGUGCAGACAACGUGACACUUUAGACUGCGGAAAAUUUCACAAUCCGUUAUCAAACUAUGUCACAGAAGUGGUAAGGGACUUGUGUGACAACUGAAUGGUAUCUUUUUGUAAUGUUUUUGACCAGGGGUGGGUAUUUCUUUUUUAAUUGAUAUUUGAGGUUGGGUAAUCAAAUAUUUUACUUUUUAAUGGUUGGGUCAGCAAAAUUUUUAGCACGAAAAACAUUUCUCUUCGGUGCCACCCAGACUCGUCCCAAGUCGUUAUUUGAAUUUCAAUUUUAUAUAUAGGGAC